rnacentral:rRNA from 1 species
GAUGAACGCUGGCGGCGUGCCUAAUACAUGCAAGUCGAGCGAACCGACGAGGAGCUUGCUCCUCUGACGUUAACGGCGGACGGGGGAGGAAAAAGUGGAUAACCUACCUAUAAGACUGGGAUAACUUCGGGAAACCGAAGCUAAUACCGGAUAAUAUAUUGAACCGCAUGGUUCAAUAGUGAAAGACGGUUUUGCUGUCACUUAUAGAUGGAUCCGCGCCGCAUUAGCUAGUUGGUAAGGUAACGGCCUACCAAGGCGACGAUGCGUAGCCGACCUGAGAGGGUGAUCGGCCACACUGGAACUGAGACACGGUCCAGACUCCUACGGGAGGCAGCAGUAGGAAUAUUUGCGCAAUGGGCGAAAGCCUGACGGAGCAACGCGGCGGGGGUGAUGAAGGUCUGCGGUUCGUAAACCUCUGUUAUUAGGGAAGAACAAAUGUGUAUGUAACCAUGCAGGUAUGACCGGACCCAAAGCAGAAAGCCACGCCUAACUACUG